rnacentral:rRNA from 1 species
CCAGACUCCUACGGGAGGCAGCAGUGGGGAAUAUUGCACAAUGGGGGAAACCCUGAUGCAGCGACGCCGCGUGAGUGAAGAAGUAUUUCGGUACGUAAAGCUCUAUCAGCAGGGAAGAAAAAAAGUCCUUUGGACUUUGGACGGUACCUGACCAAGAAGCCCCGGCUAACUACGUGCCAGCAGCCGCGGUAAUACGUAGGGGGCAAGCGUUAUCCGGAUUUACUGGGUGUAAAGGGAGCGUAGACGGCAGCGCAAGUCUGGAGUGAAAUGCCGGGGCUCAACCCCGGAACUGCUUUGGAAACUGUGCAGCUCGAGUGCGGGAGGGGCAGGCGGAAUUCCUGGUGUAGCGGUGAAAUGCGUAGAUAUCAGGAGGAACACCGGCGGCGAAGGCGGCCUGCUGGACCGUGACUGACGUUGAGGCUCGAGAGCGUGGGGAGCAAACAGGAUUAGAUACCCCGGUA